rnacentral:tRNA from 1 species
GGCUGGGUAGCUCAGUGGUUGAGAGCCAAGCCUAGAGGUGGGAGGUCCUAGGUUCGAAUCCAGCCUCAGCCA